GCCUAUCAGACUGGGAUAACACCGGGAAACCGGUGCUAAUACCGGAUACAAAUUUACUAACGCAUGUUAGGAAGUUGAAAAGUUAUUCGCUGAUAGAUGGAUCCGCGUCCCAUUAGCUAGUUGGUGGGGUAAAGGCCUACCAAGGCAACGAUGGGUAGCCGGCCUGAGAGGGUGAACGGCCACACUGGGACUGAGACACGGCCCAGACUCCUACGGGAGGCAGCAGUGGGGAAUAUUCCGCAAUGGGGGAAACCCUGACGGAGCGACGCCGCGUGAGGGAAGAAGGUUUUCGGAUUGUAAACCUCUGUUCUAUGGGAAGAAGAAGUGACGGUACCAUAGGAGUAAGCCCCGGCUAACUACGUGCCAGCAGCCGCGGUAACACGUAGGGGGCAAGCGUUGUCCGGAAUUACUGGGCGUAAAGGGCGCGUAGGCGGCCUAUUAAGUUAGAGGUGAAAGGCCAGGGCUCAACCCUGGAGUUGCCUCUAAAACUGGCAGGCUUGAGUGCAGGAGAGGGAAGUGGAAUUCCUAGUGUAGCGGUGAAAUGCGUAGAUAUUAGGAGGAACAUUAGUGGCGAAGGCGGCUUCCUGGUCUGUAACUGACGCUGAGGCGCGAAAGCGUGGGUAGCAAACAGGAUUAGAUACCCUGGUAGUCCACGCCGUAAACGAUGAGUGCUAAGUGUUGGAGGUAUCGACCCCUUCAGUGCUGCAGUUAACGCAAUAAGCACUCCGCCUGGGGAGUACGGUCGCAAGACUGAAACUCAAAAGAAUUGACGGGGGCCCGCACAAGCGGUGGAGCAUGUGGUUUAAUUCGACGCAACGCGAAGAACCUUACCAGGACUUGACAUCCUCUGAUUGACCUAGAGAUAGGUAGUUCUCUUCGGAGACGGAGAGACAGGUGGUGCAUGGUUGUCGUCAGCUCGUGUCGUGAGAUGUUGGGUUAAGUCCCGCAACGAGCGCAACCCUUACCGUUAGUUGCCAGCACGUAAAGGUGGGAACUCUAGCGGAACUGCCGU
rnacentral:rRNA from 1 species